AAAACUAUGCACCAUGUGCUCAUAAUCUCCAUACAACAGAAAAGAUAUUUAACUUUUCAAUCACAACAAAAUGAAGUCUAAUCUGAUAAAUGGAAAGCUUGAUAUCUCGCUAGCAUUAGGCUAAGAGCCACAAGGAAAAAAAAACAAGUGUCAUUUGAUUGGACUGGUCAGUAGUAUGUGAACAUUAGACCAUACAAAUCAAACAAA
rnacentral:lncRNA from 1 species